rnacentral:rRNA from 1 species
UACGGGGGGGGCAAGCGUUGUUCGGAAUUACUGGGCGUAAAGGGCUCGUAGGUGGCCAACUAAGUCGGACGUGAAAUCCCUCGGCUUAACCGGGGAACUGCGUCCGAUACUGGUUGGCUUGAGUUUGGGAGAGGGAUGCGGAAUUCCAGGUGUAGCGGUGAAAUGCGUAGAUAUCUGGAGGAACACCGGUGGCGAAGGCGGCAUCCUGGACCAAUACUGACGAUGAGGAGCGAAAGCCAGGGGAGCAAACGGG